GAAAAUUCAAGUAUAAGGUUUGAAAAAUAAAUGAAAUGCUGAAAAAAUAAAAGACAGAUAAAAUUAAAGAUAGAUAGACUGCUAUAGUCUAUUGUUGUUUGAUUGAUUGAGUGGUUAGGUGAGCCUUUAACGUUGCACAAUAGAGCAUAUUUAUAAUAGCACUUGAUUGUUCCUAUGAAGGUUCCAAAACCCGCAUUUGUUCACGUCUCAUGUCUUUCCAUAACUUCCCAGCACCUGUUCUCUUAACCGCUCAUAACUUGCCCAUGAUCUGGUAACUCCCUUUAGUUGAUUAAUCCCCUUCUGAUGACUACUCAAAAAUAAUACCUGUGUUACAACUUUUCCUUGGCUUUGGGCUUGCACCAUCCUCU
rnacentral:misc_RNA from 1 species